rnacentral:rRNA from 1 species
UACGUAGGGUGCAAGCGUUGUCCGGAAUUAUUGGGCGUAAAGAGCUCGUAGGCGGUCUGUCGCGUCUGCUGUGAAAACUCGGGGCUUAACCCCGAACUUGCAGUGGGUACGGGCAGACUAGAGUGUGGUAGGGGAGACUGGAAUUCCUGGUGUAGCGGUGAAAUGCGCAGAUAUCAGGAGGAACACCGAUGGCGAAGGCAGGUCUCUGGGCCACUACUGACGCUGAGAAGCGAAAGCAUGGGGAGCGAACAGG